CACUACAGAAGCUCAUACUGGCAUAGCACUAGCCUUUUAAGCUAGAAACAGAGGCUGACCAAACCUCCUUAGUG
rnacentral:tRNA from 1 species